rfam:Triticum aestivum genome assembly, contig: Triticum_aestivum_CS42_TGACv1_scaffold_146687_2BS
AUUAUACUCCCUCCAUCCGUAAAUAUUUCAGAGAAAUGGAUAAAAAUUGAUGUAUAUAGAACUAAAAUAUGUCUAGAUACAUUCAUUUUUCUGACAAGUAUUUUUAGACGGAGGGAGUAGUUG